GAAGUAGCGCAGGGUCGGCUUCGGGGCGCGCAAAGCGGUGAGGAAGACCCAGCACGUCCACGCGGCCCUCAGUCACGCGUUCCCGGGCAGCGGCCACGGAUUUUGAGUCCCUUACGUCCAGCUGCAACGUCUCCAGGGAUCCCGGAGGGCAUGCCAGGGCCCGGGCCGCCUCCCACAGCCGGCCCUGUGUUUUCAGGUCCCUCAACGUGGCAUACACUGGAGGUUUUGGGAGAGGAGGAAGAUCUGACUUCCCUUCUGGCCUCCAAGGGCUCCUCCCUUCUCUCCCUCCCUGUCCCUGCCUAUCUAUACCUUUGAAGCUCUGGGAUGGAUCUGAAGCCAGACGUACGGCCAAGUGCAGGCCGAUGCCCGAGGAACAGCCGGUGAUGAGCACCACGGUGCGGGCCAUGGUGAGACUGUGGGGAGAGGCUGGGGCUCUGGGCUUGAUAUCACCUGCUUCGCCCCGCCCCGCCUGCGGGCCCCCACCCCUUGUUGUGUCUCCCACGCAAUCUCAAGGAUAAGCCUUCCUGCGGGUCCCUGGCCCGCUCUCCCCACCCUGUUCUGAGCCAAAACAGACAUGAGCCCACUGCUUGGAACAACAAACUGUCCUGGUUGCUGGUCAGAGGGAGGGGAGGCUUUACAAGCAGGUGUGGGUUCCCACGUGGGCACAGAGUGGCCCCCUGGGCAGAUUCCCCUGGGUAUGCCUCUGUGCCACAGGAGCGAUUAUAGUGACCGCAGUUUGCUGCAGAGGCUGUGAAAGUAAAGGCGUUGGGAGGUGGGAGAUGAUUGUAUAUGUGCUGGUUUCGUCCAGGGUUCCUAGCUCAUAACUCACAUGACCAUGGUUACAGUCUUACGUUGUCAUGUUGGGGUGCCUCAGGCCUCAAAAAACAGCCUUUCGUCUCUCUG
rnacentral:lncRNA from 10 species